rnacentral:rRNA from 1 species
UACAGAGGGUGCGAGCGUUAAUCGGAAUUACUGGGCGUAAAGCGCGCGUAGGCGGCUUUUCAAGUCGAUUGUGAAAUCCCCGGGCUUAACCUGGGAACUGCAGUCGAGACUGUCUAGCUAGAGUAUGGGAGAGGGAAGUGGAAUUUCAGGUGUAGCGGUGAAAUGCGUAGAUAUCAGGAAGAACACCCGUGGCGAAAGCGGCUCUCUGGAACGGUACUGACGCUGAGACGCGAAAGCGUGGGGAGCGAACAGG